rnacentral:rRNA from 1 species
GACGAACGCUGGCGGCGUGCUUAACACAUGCAAGUCGAACGGAAAGGCCCUGCUUUUGUGGGGUGCUCGAGUGGCGAACGGGUGAGUAACACGUGAGUAACCUGCCCUUGACUUUGGGAUAACUUCAGGAAACUGGGGCUAAUACCGGAUAGGAGCUCCUGCUGCAUGGUGGGGGUUGGAAAGUUUCGGCGGUUGGGGAUGGACUCGCGGCUUAUCAGCUUGUUGGUGGGGUAGUGGCUUACCAAGGCUUUGACGGGUAGCCGGCCUGAGAGGGUGACCGGCCAAAUGGGGACUGAGAUACGGCCCAGACUCCUACGGGAGGCAGCAGGGGGGAAUAUGGAAAAAUGGGCGGAGGCCUGAUGCAGCAACGCCGCGUGCGGGAGGACGGCCUUCGGGUUGUAAACCGCUUUCGCCUGUGACGAAGCGUGAGUGACGGUAAUGGGUAAAGAAGCACCGGCUAACUACGU